rnacentral:misc_RNA from 1 species
GGCAAUCCAGUGUGCUGCACCCAUUCGAGCAGAUCGACCGGACAUGAAAACAGCAGGAGAACAACUGUGGGCAAUAAGGGCAGACUACCUGAAAAGUGCAAGGGCAAGGCGUGGUUAAAUAAAAAAAGAAGAGUGGCCUGCUCAUAUUCUAUUGUGCUCCUUUCAUCACAUUUUCUUUUCAGCCUGUGUAAACAAAUUCCAUUUUAAUGUCAAGACACAAGUUACUUUCAUCUUGGUCCCUUAACCUUGCUUCACUGCUCAUCAUCAUUUUGAGAACAUACUUGGACCUUUGGGCUCUUGGCUACUUCUUGCUCUUUAACUUGUCAUAUAGCAAAAAGUCCUGUCAUGGACAAUGUAUAAAAUGAUGAAGCACAUUUGCUUUGGAAGAUUGCUCUACCAAAUGACAGGUUAUCUGUAUACAACAAUUCUC